UACAGAGGGGGCAAGCGUUAUUCGGAAUUAUUGGGCGUAAAGGGCGCGUAGGCGGCUUUUCAAGUGACGGGUGAAAUCCCUCGGCUUAACCGAGGAACUGCCUGUCAGACUGGAAGGCUUGAGACCGGGAGAGGUGAGUGGAAUUCCCAGUGUAGCGGUGAAAUGCGUAGAUAUUGGGAGGAACACCAGUGGCGAAGGCGGCUCACUGGACCGGAACUGACGCUGAGGCGCGAAAGCGUGGGGGGCAAACAGG
rnacentral:rRNA from 1 species